CUGAUGAAAAGAUUCUUCUCUGGAACAAGUCCAGCAGGUGGCAGAGAUGUGUAACAUGAUACCUCUGUAAAACAAUCUUGCUUUUUGGGUUUGAUUGUAUUUGUCAUUGAAGUGUAACAAUAGUUGGUGAAAUAUUUAGAAGAGUAUGUACGACAGCACCACCCACCACAAGAUAUGAGGGUGUGCUUAGAAAAGAAGGCUGGAACUUAUCAAUACAGUUUAAAAGAAGAAUGACGGUGAUAACUUGUAUUUCUCAGUAUCAGCAAAUAUUUUUAAAAACACAGUAUGGUUCUUUUAUUCAUCAGCAUUGCUCUUCAUGCUAUUUUGGUUGCAGUUUCUGCAGGUUCUUCCCUCAGUGAUCAAGUCUAUCAGACGCCACGAGAACUGUACAACAAUCCUGGAGAAAAAGCCGAACUGGAAUGCUCACACAAUAUUUCGAGCUACAACGUGAUCCUGUGGUACAGACAGUCAGACACACAGCUGCAGCUUCUGGGUUACAUGGUUGUAGACAGUGGAGUCCCUGAAACUGGGGUGGAUGUGAAGAUGGAUGGAAGUGCAUCUACGGGCAAAACCUGCACUUUAACAAUCAACAAACUCUACUUGAACAGCAGUGCAGUGUACUUCUGUGCUGCCAGUUUACACAGUGCAACACAUCUCUGCUCCUCAGUACAAAAAACCUGCAUAAUCACACAUUUUUUCUCAUCACAGCUCCUUGCACCUGUAUUAACCCAGAAUAACCAACGCCGUCCUUCCCCACUAAUGUAGAUCAGAGAUUAUAGUGGG